GCUGUUUGGAUUGUUUGGGUAUUAGGCUGUUUGGGUAUUGGGUCAUAUGGGCCAUUGUAAUUCUGGGCUGAUGUUUAUUGGACUAAACUUUUAUUUAUUUUUUUACUUGGUUUAUUUUUUGUUUAUUUAAUUGGGCUUGGGCAAAUUGGGCCUAUUACAGCUGCCCCUCUUUGCUCGUUGUCGUGUAAUAGGAAUGGAGCAAAGACUAAAAAGGGUCAAUUUUGCCCGAUUUUCACUUCUUUUGGUGCUUCCUCUUCA
rnacentral:lncRNA from 1 species